CAAAGCUCAGAGCACUGUCCCUGACAUCGCUCAUCUGCAGAAAUGAGUAACCAAAGGUUACUGAAUCUGGCCAAGAACCAAAGGAAGCAACAAAGGAAACAUGUGGGGGCUAAAAGUCCCAUUUGCCUCCCUGAGCAGGAAAUAACCCAUGAGGAAUUAAACCUUAGAAAUGCCUCUCAGGAGUCUCCAGACAAUAUGUGUGACCACUGCAAAGGUUUUCUGUCAUCUCCAGAGAAGCUCAUUGCUGGGAUCCUGGGACUCAUCUGCUUAAAAGUCACUAUGUUGGUCACAAUGACAAUCACUACUUCCUGUAAGAAUAUUUUUGGAAAAUAA
rnacentral:lncRNA from 1 species